GAUGAACGCUAGCGGCAGGCCUAAUACAUGCAAGACGAACGGUAAGUUGAGUAGCAAUACUUAGCCAAGAGUGUCGUACGGGUGCGUAACACGUAUGCAACCUACCCUAUACAGGAGGAUAGCCUAGGGAAACCUGGAUUAAACCCUUCAUAGUAUUAUUGGAUGGCAUCAUUUGAUAAUUAAAACUGAGGUGGUAUAGGAUGGGCAUGCGUCUGAUUAGUUAGUUGGCGGGGUAAUGGCCCACCAAGACGAUGAUCAGUAGGGGUUCUGAGAGGAAGAUCCCCCACACUGGCACUGAGAUACGGG
rnacentral:rRNA from 1 species